GCCGCUAUGGUGAAAUUGGUAGACAC
rnacentral:tRNA from 29 species